AUCCUGGGUAAUAAGUCAGCCCUCUUUUUCUGUGCAAACUUCCUACAGCUACCCCUUGCUACACUGAUUACAUUUAAACGGUAACAUCCUCUUAACUGAUUACUGAAGCAACGGAUGGAUCACGUGACCUAGACAGAUCUCAAAAAUGGGAGACCACAUGCAAAGGAAACUACGUUUUCACAACACAUGGUUGGAGAGGUCAAAGAAAAUGUGAUGUAUUACUUUCAGUUUUAUCAUCAGCGGGACCAUCUGGGGCUAGUGGUGGGGCUCGAAGAAGGAAGAAGAAAAUAAAGAAGAGAAUCAGGAAGGGGCUUUGGGGAAAACUUUCCAUUUUUCUAAAUCUUUUCCAACCAGUAGUGUGAAAAAGACAAUUUUGUAAAUUGAGGUUCUUGGGCAUUGUCAUAAUUUAUAAAGAUGAUAGAAAGAGAUGAGAUAACAGAGGAAAAAGAUAUAUGUUCCAUUAAUGUACUUCAAGGCUAUGAGAACAUACCUGAACAAAUAUGCUACACUGAGCAGAAGACACCAUAGCACUUCUAAGAAAAGAGGAUGCUUCCUCAACCAUGAAGUUCCCAUAGAGAUGCCUACUUAACCCUGGAUUGCCAUAAAGAUUCUGACACUUUCUUCAAGCAGCUCCUGUUUACCAUUCACCUAGGUGGUCUUAAUCUCUUCUGCACUUUCCCAGUUGUUUUGAAUACUUCAGGCAUGAGUCUUCUUACUAACCAGUUGCAAGUAAGAAGUAAAAACCAUAAGAAAUUCCUGUUUUUGGAGAGAUUGUCUAGGUCAAAGUUCACUUUUUCAAGCAUUCUACCACACUAGCCUGCCUCAGUUCUAACUUAAGUUCUUCUCCUGCAGAUCCCCAAAGUAGAGAGACUGAAUUACAGCAAUGACCUCGACUUGCAUUUACUAGGUAUGAAAUACAGAAGGUUCAGUUUCUUCUUUCCUGAUUUUCUUCACAGUUUUCUUGUGACACCUCUUCCACCAACAUUAUACAUAAGGACAAGAAAUCCUGCCGUAGGGCCAUAUUUGAGGGUUGAUUGGUUCUAUAAGACUGCUUUCUGCAGCUUUCACAGCUUUGGGUUGAUUGUGUCUGGUGUGUGCAGGAGAU
rnacentral:lncRNA from 1 species